UACGGAGGGGGCUAGCGUUGUUCGGAAUUACUGGGCGUAAAGCGCACGUAGGCGGCUUUGUAAGUUAGAGGUGAAAGCCCGGGGCUCAACUCCGGAAUUGCCUUUAAGACUGCAUCGCUCGAAUUGUGGAGAGGUGAGUGGAACUGCGAGUGUAGAGGUGAAAUUCGUAGAUAUUCGCAAGAACACCAGUGGCGAAGGCGGCUCACUGGCCCGAUACUGACGCUGAGGCACGAAAGCGUGGGGAGCAAACAGG
rnacentral:rRNA from 1 species